rnacentral:rRNA from 1 species
AGAGAGAGACAUGCGCGCAUAUCAAUAAGCGGAGGAAAAGAAACUAACAAGGAUUCCCUUAGUAACGGCGAGUGAAGCGGGAAGAGCUCAAAUUUGAAAUCUUCAAGGUUUUACCUUGACGAAUUGUAGUUUAAAGAAGUGUUUUCUGCUGAAGUUUUGGUAAAAGUUCUUUGGAAUAGGACAUCAUAGAGGGUGAGAAUCCCGUAUUUGACCAUUAUUUUCAGCUUUGUGAUACACUUUCAAAGAGUCGGAUUGUUUGGGAAUGCAGUCCAAAAUGGGUGGUAAAUUUCAUCUAAAGCUAAAUAUUGGCGAGAGACCGAUAGCGAACAAGUACCGUGAGGGAAAGAUGAAAAGAACUUUGAAAAGAGAGUUAAACAGUACGUGAAAUUGUCAAAAGGGAAGCGUUUGACACCAGUGUUGUUUUCUCGAAAAUCAAUUAAAAAUGGCUCGACUUUGUAUUGCUGAGACCUUAAAAGCUCACUGUACAUUUUUCGUGUCUUUUUUAAUGCACUUUUCGUUUAACAAGUCAACAUCAGUUUCUUUUGUUGUAAAAGGGUCAUUGGAAGGUGGCUUUCUUUUCGGAGAAAGUGUUUAUAGCCUUUGGCCUCUGCAAUCGGAGAGACUGAGGUCUGCAGCGUAGACUCUUCGGGGUUAGAUACAUUUGUGCUAAGUUAUAGCUUUUUAUAGACAACUUGUUGACUAUAAUUAGUCUUGUAGCUUACUCGCUUAUGCUAUUUUACCUACGCUUAGGAUGUUGAAGAUGUAGCACAUCAU